rnacentral:lncRNA from 1 species
CAACAGUAUUUUCCUUUUUGGGCUUUUCAGUGUUAUAUAAUGCUCAAUGAUUCUGCACUCUUAAGACUUUUAAAGCAUGAAUCAUAUCACUGGCUGGUGACAGUGACUUUCUCAGUCUCCCUAGGUUCACUCUUUGCAUCUGGGGUUAGUUAGGGGGGACAUAGGAGCAAACAUGGGUGUACCUGCCAGGGAAGCCCCCAGGGACCAGGUUCCAGUGCUUGUAUGGGAGGCAGAAGGUCAGGUUGCCCUAUGGUACCUUCAGACAAAUGGUCCCUCGUGCCAGGGCUGAGCAUGCAGGCUGAUCUCUGGGAGCAGAAGCCUCCCUCUCUGCUCUGACCCUCCCCUGAGCCUCCAGGCCUGCCUCAUCCAUGCCUCACAGCUAAGCCCUGAAUCACAGCAGCAGACAAUUUUAGAGCCGGGAGAAGCCUUAGGGAUGGUUGAUGUCAGUGCAAAAUUUAUAGUCGAGGAAACAGAAAUAAAGUUCAAGGACACAGAGUAGGAUGGGUAGACGGGAGGCCUAGAAGUUGCUAGGCCUCACUGAAGCCAGCCAACCACCCCUACCAGCCAUGGCUUCAGGUGGAGCUGGUCAGGGGCCCUGGGGGCUCCCCAAGGACAGCCGGGCCGCCUGCAUCUGUAUCCUGCGGUGAACAGACAAGCUGAACAUAAGGGCUUUGCAACCCCAUCAAAGGACUGUGGGGAAUUCUGGGGCCUUAGGGCACCACUGAGGACCAAGCAGGCCUCAAGUGCUGCAUGCCAUCCGUGGCUGGAGGCCCAGGGAGCCUUUGUUGGAGAACAGUCGGGUGGAAGGCUUUUGAGUCCCCUGAGAUGGAAUGGGAGCAAAGAGGUGCAUUAGCUUUUCAUCACCUGGACAAAAUACCUGGCACCCACAGUGUGAGGGAGGAGACAUCUGCUGGCUGGCUGGCUCCAAAGCAGAGACAUCACACGGAAGGGUGUGGUGGGGCGAUGCUGCUCACUUCACAGUGUCUGGGAAGCACAGCGCAGGGAAUUUCCGAGAGAUACAGACCUUUCUCGGGCGGGUCCCAGGGACCCAUCUCCUCCAGCUGGGCUGCACUGCCUCGCAGCACACUCCGCUGUGACAUCAGUGGGUCAGUUCACACAGGUGUUCCUCACUCUCGCGAUCCAGCCACCUCUGCAGGAGUCCCUCCAUCAGUCAAGCUGGCAAUUAAGAUGUUUCUUAUCACGUGGGCUUCUGUUCUUCUCCAUCCUCCGGAAAAAUCCAUUUGUCCAAAGGACGUGUGCUCCACCCGCGGACGCAGCCGGCUUCGCCUUCCUCUCCUGACUUCUGCACGGAAGGACGUGGCUGAGCACAUUUGCAAGAAGGGCCAGGAGCUGGCUCUGCUCGGACCUUCUUCCCCAGUCUUCGCUCGGGGUUGCCUAGCAAUCUGACACCACGCUGCUGCCCCUACAG